CCUACGGGGGGCAGCAGUGGGGAAUAUUGGACAAUGGGCGAAAGCCUGAUCCAGCAAUGCCGCGUGAGUGAUGAAGGCCUUAGGGUUGUAAAGCUCUUUUACCAGGGAUGAUAAUGACAGUACCUGGAGAAUAAGCUCCGGCUAACUCCGUGCCAGCAGCCGCGGUAAUACGGAGGGAGCUAGCGUUGUUCGGAAUCACUGGGCGUAAAGCGUACGUAGGCGGUUAUUCAAGUCAGAGGUGAAAGCCUGGAGCUCAACUCCAGAACUGCCUUUGAAACUAGAUAGCUAGAAUCACGGAGAGGUAAGUGGAAUUCCGAGUGUAGAGGUGAAAUUCGUAGAUAUUCGGAAGAACACCAGUGGCGAAGGCGGCUUACUGGACGUGCAUUGACGCUGAGGUACGAAAGCGUGGGGAGCAAACAGGAUUAGAUACCCCAGUAGUC
rnacentral:rRNA from 1 species